AAAACUCAGGAAUGAUGCAGCCGAGAUA
rnacentral:sRNA from 1 species